GAGAUAUGAAUAUAAAAAAAUAAAAUGUAAAGAUAAAAAUGUGAACAAAAGUUUUUUAAGCAUCAUUUCAGAAAAAAAAAAUAUUAACUGUGUGUGUAUAUAUAUAUAUAUAUAUAUAUAUACUAUAUAUAUAAUAUAUAUAGUGUAUAUAUAUAUAUAUAUAUAUAUAUAUACAUAUAUAUAUAUAUAUAUAUUACACAAGACUUCAAAAAUAAUUUUUAGUGCAGCUAAUUUUCUGAAACACAAUACAAGAUUACGUGCAAUGCAUUUUUAAUGUGGACAAAUUAAAUACACUAGAGCGUGACUAUUGAGUUUCUUUUUGAAAUAUCCACAAGGUCAAAAGUGCCCAUAGUUGAAGUAACGCCUGAAUACCGAACGUCUUUUUCUUUUUACGACUAAUAAUAUUCUUUCCCAUGCUGCGCAACCCCAGAUUCCUCUUUUCCUUCCAACCCAGCACAGUUUAUGUGGUUUGACCGGGUCUUUGGAGCAGUAAAAAGGGAUAUCAGCGGUGACUGGGAUCCAUUUGGCCAAUAAGUGAACCGUGUUCAGGAGCCUCCCAGUAGGUGAUCGCAGUGGGCCUGAGGGAAGAGGAAGCUCCUCUGGGAACAAGAGAACAGCACAUCACAUCUAUUAUUCAGCAAUGGGGUUUGAGAUGACGUGGGCCCAGAGCUUACGCUUCAUGGACUACUGUGCUUUCAUUCUGUUUGACCUCUGGUGUUCAGUGACUGACCCUGUGCUGUGCAGGCACUCACCCCUGGAGAGAUACAAUGCCUUGGCUGAAUUUCCCUUCAUCCGUCCAAUGGAGACCUGACCGGGCCGAACAAAAGCCACCUCGCUGAACUGAACUCGAGCGCUCGCAACAGAGAAUACAGAACAUGGCAUCUUUAAAAGAGCUUGUCUACAUCAAGUCCCCUAAUUGACACAGGGGUGAAAAGAACUGCCUAAUUGCAUGAUUUAGACUCACAAUACGCCCUGACAGAUGACACUAAUCACAGCGGGAAUUAUUAAGCCAUGUUUCUUGCUUAGACAGCAAAUGAGACACUAUAAAAGGUCACACAUAUUGGUCUUAUGAUACGAAUGCAGAAUGUGGUUAAAAUGGUGCAUACGCAGCAGGGGUCAUGUGUGUGAGUGUAUACUUACUCAUUAAAAUGCAUUCAGCACAGCUCAGCGUCGCAGAGUCAAUAUUAAACUAUGUUUAAUGCGGUCCUUUGCACCUGCGAUGUCCCAAAAAGACUAUAAUUACACACAACUAACAAAGAUUGAUUGGACAUAAGUAUGAUUGUUAGUAUAAAGACAAUCACUGAAAGUAUUUUAUUUUAUUUUUGCUAAUGGUUAGCAAGUUGUAACUGAGUGCCAGGCGUUUUUUUUUUUUUCUAAAUAUGUAAGCGUACAACUAAAAUCAAGUAGUCAAACAUACAGCUUGUAAGCUGUUUGUUCGUUUCAGCAGCGGUUGUCGAGUUGACUGUGGUGUGUUGGUUGGUGUGGGUUUUGGUUGUUUUUGUGUUCAGUGGUGGAAAGUCAGAUUGUGACUUUUUUAUGUUUGUUGGGAUCACCUGAUUUUUUUAUUUACUAGUAAUAUAU
rnacentral:lncRNA from 1 species